UUGAUACACAAACACAAUUCAUUAACAUUACCCCAUCUUCUUUAACAAAUUGCACAUUCCACCUCCACAUCAUCUUUACUUCCCAUCUGAUUCUUUCCAUAAUAUCUAUGGCUCGUUGUCCUUACAAUCAUUCAUUACCAUCACCAGCUCUCUCCACCUAAGGAAGCAAUGUCCACGUCUCAAGGGAAGCACGAGAAGGACGAGUUGAUUAAGAGGCAGAAUAAGGAUAUGGAAAAGUGGGGUAAUGAGGUCAGUGAGAUUAAGAAAGUUGUAAAGGAGAAGGAGAUUGUCGAUUUGAAGUCGAAGCUGGGGGGCUAGCAGUGGUGCCAAUUCAGAUGAAUUGAAGAAGUUGAGGGAUGACGUGGCUACUAAAGAUGGGCAGAUCUCUUUCUCAAGCCUUGAUCAACUGAAUUAACUAAAUUAGUUGCUUGAUUAUGAUAAUGAUGCUCUCUGAUCUUUGUGCUGUAUCGAUGUUUUUGUAUUCUCGUCUCCCUAAUUAAUUAAUUUCAGUUUCCGGUUAUAUCUUACAAACUUUUUUUGAAAACAAAUGAAAAACCAGCAUUAAUUUUACUUUCUUUUGGAAUAAUUGUGAACCGUCGAUAUCAUAAAUUGAAAAUGGACGUUGGUGAUGAAUUUACGUUACAAAAAAAAACCAAUGCUAUAUACAAUCCGUCUU
rnacentral:lncRNA from 1 species